rnacentral:rRNA from 1 species
UGGGGAAUAUUGGACAAUGGGCGAAAGCCUGAUCCAGCCAUGCCGCGUGAGUGACGAAGGCCUUAGGGUUGUAAAGCUCUUUUGGCGGGGACGAUAAUGACGGUACCCGGAGAAUAAGUCCCGGCUAACUUCGUGCCAGCAGCCGCGGUAAUACGAAGGGGGCUAGCGUUGUUCGGAAUUACUGGGCGUAAAGCGCACGUAGGCGGACUCUUAAGUCGGUGGUGAAAUCCUGGAGCUCAACUCCAGAACUGCCUUCGAUACUGAGAGUCUCGAGUCCGAGAGAGGUGAGUGGAACUGCGAGUGUAGAGGUGAAAUUCGUAGAUAUUCGCAGGAACACCGAUGGCGAAGGCAAUCCCCUGGGCCUGCACUGACGCUCAUGCACGAAAGCGUGGGGAGCAAACAGGAUUAGAUACCCAAGUAGUCCCUGAGCGGGCUGGCAAGGCGCAU